GACGAAACGCUGGCGGCGUGCUUAACACAUGCAAGUCGAGCGGUAAGGCCCUUUCGGGGGUACACGAGCGGCGAACGGGUGAGUAACACGUGGGUGACCUGCCCUCAGCUCUGGGAUAAGCCUGGGAAACCGGGUCUAAUACUGGAUAUGACUCCAUGACGCAUGUUGUGGGGUGGAAAGCCUUGUGCGGCUGAGGAUGGGCCCGCGGCCUAUCAGCUUGUUGGUGGGGUGANGGCCUACCAAGGCGACGACGGGUAGCCGGCCUGAGAGGGCGACCGGCCACACUGGGACUGAGACACGGCCCAGACUCCUACGGGAGGCAGCAGUGGGGAAUCUUGCGCAAUGGGCGAAAGCCUGACGCAGCGACGCCGCGUGAGGGAUGGACGGCC
rnacentral:rRNA from 1 species